UUGUUAGAUAAUGUUCUUUUCUCCUUUUCUGCUGGGUUCUGAAUGGUGGGAAGGAAAGGAUACCUGAAGUCACACUUCUUUUUUCAAUGCCAUUUCUGUUCCCAAAGUGAUCUUGCAGAUAUCUUUUGUAGAUUCCUCCACAAAUAAAGUAGACUUAAAAAGCUGGAAAAGUGCAAUUCUUGAUGUUUGCACAUUUAUGUAGAACUGCUGGAUAUAGCUUCUUCGUUGUUUUCAAAACUCUUUUAUGUCUGGACUGUUGAGUCUUUCUCUAAAUGUAAAAGUUACUGACUUUAGGGAUCUGUUUUCAGAAAAGCUGCCCCAGCUCCCACUCCCCUUCAGGAGAAGAGAAAAUGAGAUGUAUAUUGCCUUAAGCUUGGACCACGCUAUAACAAACCUGCCAUGUCCAAGGAGAGAUCUUGGCAGAGGAAAAGACUAUAAAUCUUCACACAUACAUUUCUCCAAGAUGAAAUUGCAAGACCACCAAAGCCUGGAAAAAGAAAGUGAAACGAAGAUGACUGUUCCCUUUUUUCCUGCAACUGCCAUUAUUCAGAAUAUUAAAUAAGAAAUCUGACAGAUGGAAAUAUUUAGAUUGGAACCCAGAGAGAAGAUGCAAUAUUAUCAAAAUGGAUUCUACUCUACUUUCUAAAAGUCUCCAAUGCCUCUAUUAAAACAGCAACAGGCAGAGUUACUGUAAUGAAAAACAUUAUAUUUUACAUUUAUAUGGGACAGUGGAAACCAAAGUUUAAAACCACAAAUUACUUUAUAUACAAUAUUUUAAAAUUGGGGUUUGAAGUGUCCAGAUUUGAAGAAAUAUUGGAUAUUUUGAACAGAAUUUAUUAUCCAGGGGAAAGGAGACAUUGACAUACAGAUAGUUUUACUCUACUGAAAGAUCUCAUAAGAAAAAAAGUCAUUGUGGAGUAUAUAAUCAUCAGAUAUGGGUCAAAUAAUCAAAGAUAUAAAAUAUUGGGAAUUAAUUUUCUUUUAAACUAGAUCUUGCUAAAUUUCUUGCUCAGACUGACUUCAAAAUGCAAUCUCAUUAUUGAUGAUUUAUUUGUAAGCUGAAUAAAAAAAUAUUUCUGGAAAUUAAUUUUAUCA
rnacentral:lncRNA from 1 species